rnacentral:rRNA from 1 species
UACGGAGGGUGCAAGCGUUAUCCGGAAUCACUGGGUUUAAAGGGUGCGUAGGCGGUGGCAUAAGUCAGUCGUGAAAUACUUCGGCUCAACCGAUAGAACUGCGAUUGAUACUGUGUCACUUGAAUCAGGAUGAGGCAGGCGGAAUGUGGCAUGUAGCGGUGAAAUGCUUAGAUAUGCCAUAGAACACCGAUUGCGAAGGCAGCUUGCUGGACCUGUAUUGACGCUGAGGCACGAAAGCGUGGGGAGCAAACAGG